rnacentral:rRNA from 1 species
CAGUAGCCGCGGGAAAACGAAGGGGGCUAGCGUUGUUCGGAUUUACUGGGCGUAAAGCGCACGUAGGCGGACUUUUAAGUCAGGGGUGAAAUCCCGGGGCUCAACCCCGGAACUGCCUUUGAUACUGGAAGUCUUGAGUAUGGUAGAGGUGAGUGGAAUUCCGAGUGUAGAGGUGAAAUUCGUAGAUAUUCGGAGGAACACCAGUGGCGAAGGCGGCUCACUGGACCAUUACUGACGCUGAGGUGCGAAAGCGUGGGGAGCAAACAGGAUUAGAUACCCCCGUAGUCCCUGUCUCUUAUAC